rnacentral:ncRNA from 1 species
GCGUUCGUCCUGUGCGGUAGCGGUAACGCCCGCAAAAUUAAUCCCUAAGAUUGUUUGACAGCAGGUAACGAACGCUU